rnacentral:rRNA from 1 species
GACGAACGCUGGCGGCGUGCUUAACACAUGCAAGUCGAACGGAAAGGCCCUGCUUUUGUGGGGUGCUCGAGUGGCGAACGGGUGAGUAACACGUGAGUAACCUGCCCUUGACUUUGGGAUAACUUCAGGAAACUGGGGCUAAUACCGGAUAGGAGCUCCUGCUGCAUGGUGGGGGUUGGAAAGUUUCGGCGGUUGGGGAUGGACUCGCGGCUUAUCAGCUUGUUGGUGGGGUAGUGGCUUACCAAGGCUUUGACGGGUAGCCGGCCUGAGGGGGUGACCGGCCACAUUGGGACUGAGAUACGGCCCAGACUCCUACGGGAGGCAGCAGUGGGGAAUAUUGCACAAUGGGCGGAAGCCUGAUGCAGCAACGCCGCGUGCGGGAUGACGGCCUUCGGGUUGUAAACCGCUUUCGCCUGUGACGAAGCGUGAGUGGCGGUAAUGGGUAAAGAAGCACCGGCUAACUACGUG